AAAGGAAUAGACGGGGACCCGCACAAGCGGUGGAGCAUGUGGUUUAAUUCGAAGCAACGCGAAGAACCUUACCAGGCCUUGACAUCCCUCCGCCAUCGCUAGAGAUAGUGAGUUCCCUUUUGGGGACGGAGGAGACAGGUGGUGCAUGGUUGUCGUCAGCUCGUGUCGUGAGAUGUUGGGUUAAGUCCCGCAACGAGCGCAACCCUCGUCGUUAGUUGCCAGCAUUAAGUUGGGGACUCUAACGAGACUGCCAGUGACAAACUGGAGGAAGGUGGGGAUGACGUCAAAUCAUCAUGCCCCUUAUGGCCUGGGCUACACACGUGCUACAAUGGGUGGUACAAAGGGAGGCGAAGCCGCGAGGCGGAGCGAAACCCAAAAAGCCACUCUCAGUUCGGAUUGCAGGCUGCAACUCGCCUGCAUGAAGCCGGAAUCGCUAGUAAUCGCGAAUCAGCAUGUCGCGGUGAAUACGUUCCCGGGUCUUGUACACACCGCCCGU
rnacentral:rRNA from 1 species